GACGAACGCUGGCGGCGUGCCUAACACAUGCAAGUCGAGCGGAGGCAGCGGAAGAGCAAUCUGAGGCUGUCUGAGCGGCGGACGGGUGAGUAACGCGUGAGCAACCUGCCUUCCACAGGGGGAUAACGUACCGAAAGGUACACUAAUACCGCAUGAGACCACGGUACUGAUGGUACAGGGGUCAAAGGAGGAAUCCGGUGGGAGAUGGGCUCGCGUCCGAUUAGGUAGUUGGCGGGGUAAUGGCCCACCAAGCCUAUGAUCGGUAGCCGGCCUGAGAGGGUGAACGGCCACAUUGGAACUGAGAGACGGUCCAAACUCCUACGGGAGGCAGCAGUGGGGAAUAUUGGGCAAUGGGGGGAACCCUGACCCAGCAACGCCGCGUGAGGGAAGAAGGUUUUCGGAUUGUAAACCUCUGUUCUUGGAGAAGAGUGUAAGACGGUAUCCAAGGAGGAAGCCCCGGCUAACUACGUG
rnacentral:rRNA from 1 species